GCGAAGCUGCUGUGUUUAGGGUGUCCUGAGUGUUUGCGGUUUGUCCCCACGUCAACCCAAAGAGCGGGCAGGUUCCGUCUUUUUCCAGGACCGGAGUCGGCAGUCUUUACGGAAAUGCUCAGCUCCCGCCCCGGAGGACCCGAGCUGCGGCCGGCGUCGCGGAAGGUCUCACCAGGGCUGUCUGUUCUAUUGGUGUAACCGGGACUAGCACAGUGCCUGGCACAGUUGUGUUUCAGCUCAGGGCCCAGAAAAGCAGCACAACCAGACAAGCCUGACCUCAGGACCAGCUGCAGUGACUAAGGACCCCUGCCCUGGUGCUGACCCAUCCGUGGAGACCGAGAUCCUGAAAGGACACGCCUGGAAAGCUGAUAAAAUACAAGAUCCUAUUGGCACAUCGUGUGGACGCUGGACUCUGUCUGCCUCUGGAGACCGUCUCACAGUCCUCUCCUCUGCCUCCAAGCCCCGCUGUCCUGGCCUUCCUCUGAACCAUAAGACUUCAGACUCAAGAUUUUGGCAUAUGUUUUCUAAAACUUAAAUUAACUAACACUCCACGCUUUAUUUUUUCCCUUCACAUUACACGUAUAAUACAUUACUUCCUUAACUCACUGUCUGUCUUCCCCCCAGCUAGAAAGUAGGCUCCCCAAAAAUGCAUGGGUUGCCCUGGCCGGGUGGCUCAGUUGGUUGGAGCUUUGACCCAAACACCAAAAGGUUGCAGGCGGGUA